GUGCCAGCCGCCGCGGUAAUACCGGCAGCCCGAGUGAUGACCGAUCUUAUUGGGCCUAAAGCGUCCGUAGCUGGCUACGCAAGUCCGUCGGGAAAUCCACUCGCUCAACGAGUGGCCGUCCGGUGGAAACUCCACACCUUGGGACCGGAAGGCUCGAAGGGUACGGCCGGGGUAGGAGUGAAAUCCUGUAAUCCCGUCCGGACCACCGAUGGCGAAAGCACUUCGAGAAAACGGAUCCGACAGUGAGAGACGAAAGCUGGGAUCUCGAACCGGAUUAGAUACCCCAGUAGUCC
rnacentral:rRNA from 1 species